rnacentral:tRNA from 1 species
GCCGGGGUGCCCUAGCUCGGUAGGGGGCUGGCCUGCUAAGCCAGUGGCCCAUUGGGCCGCGAGGGUUCAAAUCCCUCCCCCGGCGCCA